UCAAGCUACUAAGGGCUUAUGGUGAAUGCCUUGGUGCCAAGAGGCGAUGAAGGACGUAGCAAGUUGCGAUAAGCCACGGGGAGCCGCAAGCAGGCAUUAAUCCGUGGAUUUCCGAAUGGGACAACCCAGCCAGUUUCAUAACUGGUUAUCAUUGGAUGAAUUCAUAGUCCAAUGAAGCGAAACGGGGUGAAGUGAAACAUCUCAGUAACCCCAGGAAAAGAAAACGAAGCGAUUCCGUCAGUAGUGGCGAGCGAAAGCGGAACAGUCUAAACCGGGAGGACUUGUCUUCCCGGGGUUGAGGGACCUUAAUGUGACAGGCCGAGAGUUAGCAGAAUCUUCUGGAAAGUUGAGCCAUAGACCGUGACAGCCGGGUAAGCGAAAACUCAAAGCCGUCUAGAGGUAUCCCAAGUAACACGGUGCACGUGAAACUCUGUGUGAAUCCGUCCGGACCACCGGAUAAGACUAAAUACUCCUUGGCAACCGAUAGUGAACUAGUACCGCGAGGGAAAGGCGAAAAGAACCGCUGUUAGCGGAGUGAAAUAGAACCUGAAACCAUAUGCCUACAAUGUGUAGGAGCCAUGCCGCAAGGUGUGGUGACUGCUUGCCUUUUGCAUAAUGAGUCUGCGAGUUAUUAUCAGUGGCCAGCCUAAAUUGCUUUGCAAUGGAGGCGAAGGGAAACCGAGUGCCAAUAGCGCGAUUAGUCGCUGGUAAUAGACCCGAAGCGGAGGUGAUCUACUCUUGAGCAGGUUGAAGCUGCAGUAACAUGCAGUGAAGGACCGAACUCGUAGAUGUUGAAAAAUCUUGAGAUGACUUGAGAGUAGGAGCGAAAGACUAAUCAAACCCCGUGAUAGCUGGUUCUCUCCGAAAUCGCUUGAGGGCGAGUCUUAUGGAAGUACCCGGCGGAGGUAGAGCACUGAAUGGCUUAGAGUCCCCACCAGGAUAUCAAAACCAAUCAAACUCCGAAUACCGUCGGUCUCAGUAUCAUAGGAAUCAGGCAGUGGGCGAUAAGGUUCAUUGCCGAGAGGAUAACAGUCCAGACCAUCAGCUAAGGUGCCUAAAUGUGAUUAAGUGGAAAGGAUGUGACUUUGCUUAGACAGUGAGGAUGUUGGCUUAGAGGCAGCCAUCAUUUAAACAGUGCGUAAUAGCUGACUCAUCGAGCGAGGUCGCGCCGAAAAUGAUUGGCGAUCAAAUCACAUACCGAAGCUAUGGAUUGAAGAGGUCUUCGGAUCUUUUCAGUGGUAGGAGAGCGUAAUCAGUGCUGCGAAGCCGGACGGAAAUGGACGGUGGAGCGCUGAUUAGUGAGAAUGCAGACACGAGUAGCGAUAAACCAGAUGAGAAUUCUGGUCGCCGUAAACCCAAGGUUUCCUGGGCCAGGUUCGUCCUCCCAGGGUUAGCCGGGAGCUAAGAUGAGGCCAUAAGGCGUAAUCGAUGCACAGCAGGUUAAAUAUUCCUGCGCCCGCCGGGAUUAAGGCUGCGAAUGACGCAUGGGAAGACAUCAACUAGGCAAUCGAAUGCUGAGCUUAGGCUUCGGCCAAAGCGUAUUGGUGGGUUCCUGUGCCUAGAAAAGUUUGCAGUCGUUUCCCCGACGGCCCGUACCGUAAACCGACACAGGUGGGUGAGUGUAAGCGCACUCAGGCGCGCGAGAGAAACCUCUCUAAGGAACUCGGCACAUUAGCCUCGUAACUUCGGGAAAAGAGGUGCCUGAAACCGUAGCAGCAAUGUUGCGGCGUAAGGUUUCAAUAAAUUGCGUUUAGCGACUGUUUAACAAAAACACAGCUCUCUGCAAAGUCGUGAAGACGACGUAUAGGGAGUGACAAGUGACCAAUGCGGAAAGAUUAAGAGAUUUUGUUAGUCCCGCGCAAGCGGGACGAAGCUCGGUCUUUAAGUCCCCGUGAAUGUCGGCCGUAACUAUAACGGUCCUAAGGUAGCGAAAUUCCUUGUCGGGUAAGUUCCGACCUGCACGAAUCUUGUAACGACUGAACGACUGUCUCGGAGAGGAUCUCGGCG
rnacentral:rRNA from 1 species